GUGCUCGCUUGGGCAGCACAUAUACUAAAAUUGGAACGAUAUCGAGAAAAUUAGCAUGGCCCUUGUGCAAGGAUGACAUGCAAAUUCGUGAAGUGUGCCAUAUUUUU